rnacentral:tRNA from 1 species
UAGCUCAGUGGUUAAAGCAUCUGCCUGCAAUGCGGGAGACCCGGGUUUGAUCCCUGG